CAAAAACCUUUCAAUUGCUAAUAUCACUCAGUAAAUGCUCGCAUUUUUGUUCCUAAAGAUAAGACUGUGGUUAGAUGAGCUAUUUUGAACACUUAAUUAUGUGUAAAUACUCAUUUCUCCUUAUGUUUGCAUUUUUUAGUGCCAUUUUGAUACAGUGGGGUAAGGGGAAUAUUUAGAAGUUGACUGGAUUGGUUCCGUAUCUUCACAUUUUAAUUAAUUUUAUUUGAUUAAUAUCUUUCUAUUGGUCAACAGUUUCAGUUAGCUUCAAUCUCUUCUAGACUUUUGUGGUAUGAAAGGGUGUAUUGUGCUUCUGGUUUUAAUAAUUCUAUAUACAAGCCCUUAGACUCUCAAAAGACUUUUGCACACACUUAAUUUGACACUGUGAGUGAAUUUGUAAUUCCUUUAAAAUCAGUGGCAGAUUUUCCAUUUUCACCUGCAUUUCAUUACCUUCAUACUCUCAUUUAAAAUAGAUAUAUACACACAAAGAUGAAAUUAAAAGAGAGGACUAUUCCUGAGGAUUGAAAGGUGAAAAUACUUAUAACAGAAAGCCACUGAAAAUAGCUGUGAACAAAAAUACGGCAAGGCUUAAGAUGAGUAAGGCCGACAUUAAAUGUAAUUUAAUAUAUGAAAUCUGAGCUUAAAAAAAAAAAUGUAAAAUUCCCCCCCAAACAACCACCAAGAAUAUCACACUACUAAGUAUUUAAAUCAAAAAUAUGGAAUUUUAAAUUAUUGAAAACAAUUAGAUAAUGCUUAAACAUAAGUGAAAAGCUUAAGCAGUCUACAAUUAGAAGUAGCAUGGUGACCCUCAUCCUAAUAGCUAUUACUGUCCUAUUUCCAUGUCCUGUUCCCUCUCCUUUGUUUUUCAUUGGUAUAGAUUAAGCUCUUUCGGUGGACGGCUGCUCUUCCUACAUCAACGUGUAACCCUUGUCUGUAUUUAUUGCUCAAAUCCUACUGGUGUAUCUGACCUUUAGUAUUCCAGCCCUGGCACUGUAAGCGUCCAUGCUGCGUGGUUCCAGCAGGCUGAUUUCAGUGGGAUCCUUUGUCAAGAGAACAGCCAUGAGAGUAUUGCAAAAUUCGAAAGAUCAUAGCAAGCUAUUUCAAAGGUCAUAAAGCAAUGGAAGGCAAAAAGCAGCGAUUCAUCCAAUUAAAUCCAUCUCAGGCCAGGAAAGCAAAACCAAGUGAAUAUUUUGUAAGGCCUUAUCACUGCCUCACUCUCAGGAAGGAAAACGAAUUCUGAAGAGAUGAUGCCACAAUUGUUAUUGCGUUCCAGAAGUGCAUAAAAUGUGGGUAGCCAGAGCCUCUUAAGUAACAAAGCAAGUGAAAAAAGGUUGUAAAUAGGACUCUGGGUUGUAAAUACAAACAUGUUCUUCCAAUGACAUUAUAGAUCAGACCAGCAAGGUUUUAAUGCUGACUUCUGCUUCAGCAGUUCUUACCUGGGUCAGUAAAGACAUUCAGGUCCCCCAAACUUUAUUUAUUUUUCUUCCCUUUCAUGUAUAAAAUCUACCAUUAAACACUGUCAGAUGAUAGUCCUCAUCAUAUAAAUCUCUACAGUGACUUUAGAAUCAGUCACUUGCAUUUCCCAAAUGCUGCAAGCACCUCAUAACAUCCUCGCAGCAGAAAACACAAGGAGUAUCAGCCAACAGAUGCACCCUAAUGACAAAAGCCCAGCAAUUCAACAACUCAGAACAAAAAGAAACAUCUGCUUGGAAAGGGAGCUGUUCUCAAUUACUUCAGGGAACUGAAGUAAAUGAAGACCUACAAAAAAGUAUUAUUUUUCAAAUAAAAUUAAUCAAAUAAAACAUGUAGAGCUAUCAGAAAAACUGCAAAUGUCUUCCCCAAACCCACUGUUGGUAGUUUGUUCCAUGAACUGGACUCAGUCAAUCAGACACAGCCCCACGGACAAAUCAGCCAACGCUAAUAAUAACCUCCACAGAGGUCAACAAUUCAACUCGGUACUAAACUCUACUCUCCCGAUACGAAAAACAGCAUAAAAAAAGAGCUAUUUCCUCCCUUUCUUUUCUUUGCAAGUCUCUGCAUUUUGGAAACUUGAAGCAGCACAAGGAUAAACAAAGGGUUAUACUUUAUGGGAAGGAAAAGCAAAUUGUUUUUCUGCUUUCCAAAAAAACAGCUGGAGUCAGCAGAACAUCAUCUACUAGGCAAAUGAAAAGACAGACACAGCGUGACCUAUCAAGCUCGGCCAUCCAAUCGUUACCAGCCUAACUCUCUUAAAGAUUAACUUCUAUUUCUACUAAACUUCAAAACAACUGAGGAAAAAUCCAUUCUAAGCAACAACAGCAGCAAUUUUAGCAUGUUUACAAUAGGAACGAACAUAAUGAGAAUGCAGAACUAACUGUCAAGAAGACCAAAGUUUCCAAGUUUUAAUGACAGUAUGGAGAGGUCAUCCAAGAAAAGAUCACUCGGCGAAAGUCCUUCCAAAAGUACAGCAAAUCAAGCAAGUACGAAAAAACAUCUGACCUUAGAAUAAGCUUUACUGGGGCUAUCAUCCAGAAAAAUAUAGGUGAAAACCUACUGGAAACUAUUUACAAUGUUUUUAAGUACCCAGUUACUCUCUCCCUCUGUGCUUUAUAAUGACACACAGAGGCAAUGCACUACUUCAAAGCUGUGAAAAGGCAAAAGAAGAAAAAUACUCUUUUGAAAGUCGGAAUUGGAGUGCAAGCUUUUCUGCUAACUUGAUUAAGUUCCUACGCCCAAGGACUCCAACCGGUGCUGGCCUAAUCAACUCUGAUGAAUACGAAACGGGCUUCAGGCUCCCUCCGCGCAGGGACUUGUCUAACAGUGGAGGACUUCACGGACAGCACCCUGGGAACUCAUAUUCUGUGCCUUGGUUUUCCAAGGUGCAGGUUUUUCCUCCACCAAAAUGUUACUGUAGGUAAAUUCUUCAGGAUUACAAUUUCUUAGUUUCUCCCCAACUUUUUUUUUUUUAAAUAACUGAGUUAUAAAAUUCUACUCUGAAAUAAGCACGUACUUUGUGACUAUUUGGAUUCAAAGACGGUUUUAGCUUUCUUGCUGCUGUGCUGACUAUAUGUUUGGUUUUGCUGAGAAUACAGGCAUCUUAAGACGUUAAAAUUCUCAGAAGAGCUAUACAAAUGUUUGCUCAAUGAGUGAGCAAAGAGAAGGCAUGUUUAUUUUACAUUAUUUUUCAAUACUUCUAUGAAAAUCUCUACCACCCUUUAGAGAUUCAUAUCCAUAUGCCCAUAAUAAACAAAAUCACCUCCUCUACUCAUUCUGAAAACUCACAGAAAUGCGCACUGCUCUGACUCUGGAUCUUUCCAUUGAUCUAUGCUCCUACAGAAAACCAAGGCUCCAGUCCUCCUCUUAAAUUGUUUUUAAAAAGCUCAUCCUCUAGCUUCAAUAAGGGCAGUGUGAAUACACAGACGGCAGCCAAGAAGAGAAAAGCAACACAUUCCUCUCCUCCCACUUAGCUUUUAAACAAACAGCGCAUUGGGAAAACACUGCUAGGAGGAACAGGGCCAUUAAAAGUCAUGUCAGCUAUAACAGAGAUUAAGCCAAUAAAUCACAAAACAUGCCACUAUGAAAACUUGGACCAUUUGUACUGGAGCAGCUCUUUGUCAAGCUCCACAGCUUUUUUGUGAGAAAAAAAGCUUAAAAAGACAAAAAUAUAUAUAUAUACACACACACACAUAUAUAUAUCUGAGUCUAUAUAUAUACACUCAAAAGCCCAGUAUGGGAUGGAGAGUUGGGGGCUAAACAUUGCAGGGAUUCCCAAUAUGCAUAAAAACUUGGCAGCUUGGUACUUCACAUCCAAGCACACAACCUUUGGAAUCCCAGAGGCAAUUAAAAGCCUAUAGACAUCCAAGCUUUCAACAGCUCCGUUCUUCAGGAGGACCAGAGCCGUGCAUCUCUGCUACCCAUGAUACUGCUGCAAGUCCAAUCGGUGACUUCAGAUGUCUUCCGUAAAUGAGCCCUUCUCAGUCACGGAGUAUGGAUGAUGUAUGUGCUCUGAGGGACUCUGCAUAUAUGCCAAAUAUAAUACAUACCAACAUGACCUAUUUAAAAACAACAUGCAGUGGAGGUGGAGGACCAGUACUUUAAUAACAGUCUUCCCCCAGAAGUGAGCAUUAUCAUAGUUACGGCUGUAAUUUUCCUUCUUCAGAAGCACCCUACACAGCCGGGAUGGCCCCAUUAAUGAAGAGCUAAAGACUAUCUUAUCAUGGCAAAGUAUUUAGAAUGCAACGUUCCUCUCUAGAAAAAUCUGAUGCUCACAGUCAGAACUUGUCUGAGCUAAGUCUGAGCUUAUUUUCAGUUUACAAAGCGAUGUACUCACAACUGAACAUGGCUCCUCACCCAGAGCACAGCUAUAUCCCCUUCUCAGACCUCGCUAGAACGCGUUGUCAAAUGACAUGCGGUGAACUGUUGCAAAUUAAUGUGUGAAUGAAUAAAGCUAAAAGGGAAUGAAAAAGCCAAAUCAGAAGCAUCCAGAACACUUUUUCUUCAAAUAUAUCCCAACAUGCUUAUCUUAAGACACUACCAGUUGUUUUUUAAUUUCACAGUAUAUUGUAAGAACUCAUUUGCUACCCUUAUCUUUAUAGUCCAGAAAAAGAAAAAAAAAAUCUGUUUGCGGUACUUGCCAGGUUUUCAUCCCCUCUGUUUUGACUUUGUUUUUACUUUUUUAAUGAAAACCAUUUCAGUAAGUUGCUCUUUUCUGUCUCUUUUAUUUUCCCUGUCAGUUUAAUAGGAAAACUUCCUUUUUCCAUAAUUCUCACUGCAUUCUUUUCCCCAAUUCUCUCUGAUUUUCUCUGCAUUGAUACAUACUCAUCCUUUUCUGGUAUCAGUUAUAUGAUUUAUCCUCAUCAUUACUGUAGCUGUCUUUUUUAAUGGCUACUCCACACCUGGUAUCUGUGAGGAACGCACACUAGUGUCGUCCAGUUUUAUUUCAAGCUACUCCUCUGUGUUUUAUACAAUACGUGGGUACAGGCGGCAGAAUUACAAAAUCUUCUUAGGAUUCUGUCUCUAAUCCCAAACCAUGGAAGACAUUACAUCUCGUUCGAAUAUGAGGAAUACGAGGCUGGGAUAGGAUACAGUCAGCAAACGCAAGGAACGCUGGUCAGGGCAGAGAUCUCCAAGGCUAACCUACAUCCUAAGGCAAAACUAGUAACGUACUUGGCUUCUCUUCACUGAUCAAGAAAACACGGUGAAACAGGAGCUCGCUUCCCACCUGCCUUAAGGACUUUCGAUCUAAACUGAAGAGUCUCCCUCCACAGACACAGGAAUCCUAUCAAUUAUUAUACCAUGUGGGAUGGCCAGGAUAAAUGCCACUCACCGAUCACAGCUGAGAACGGAAACGUACAAACAGAACUGCCUGAAGAAUGUAACUCUUCAGGCAUUAAACCUUUUCAUAAGACAGCCAGUGUUUUUACUUCAAAGCGAAGAGAUCAAACUGCUCCCUGUGUGCCGAUCAGGGAAAAGGAAUUCUAACAAAGCUAACAAAAACGUACAAAAAAAGCCUAGAUGAUUUCCAGAUCAGACCUGUGACAAACUGAAACCACCAUAUUAUUUCUUGCAUGUGAAUGUCAGUAAAAAAAAGACAACCAAAUCCAAACUGCAGAUUGGAGUAUCAAACGCCGUUUGGUUUGGGGGUUUUUUAUUUAUUUUGAGAGGUGCAGGUGGGGUGCAUGUAACAUAUAGUGAAUAAUUUUUGGCUUGUGGUUAGGCAAGUCUUUUGAGACUUUAUACACAAUAAAGUACUCUGACUAAAAUCUGGAAAAUUACCUCUUAAGGCUCUAGCUGUACAGCAUCAAUAGAAAUGUGGUGCCAGCUAAUGGCUGCAAUAACUGUCUUCAUCCCCAGAGAAUAAUGGAUGGAAAAUAUAUCAAUAUGAGGAGUGGAAGGGCCAGAGAAACAGAGCAGGCGCUAGUUAUCGGACACAAAGAUGAUGCCACAUGCAUGAUGUUAUCUGUGAUAAUCUUUACUUAGGGCCCAGGGGGUGGAAGGGUAUUCUUUACAGAGAAGAAAGUAUCCAUCAGGCCAUAUUCAUAAUCAUCAAUGUUCCACUAAGUAAGCAUUUUUGGAGAAGGGUUGAGGGAGCACUGAUGUAAUAGAAAUCAAUUAAAUUCAGCUUUUCUGCAUCUACUGUUUAGAGCAAAGUAAGGAAAAAAAGCAUGUGCAUCACUUUCGCCUCUGAUCGUUCAGUCAUAUGCAGUAUUCAGAAAAUGGCUCUGUAGGAAAUCUUAAGUGAACCACAAUAAAACUCAUAACUAUUUAAAAAUCUAUUUAAAAUCCACACCUUGACAUUCACAACUACCGAAGGAAAUAAACUGUUAUUAUAAGCAUCAAAUGUAUGUUUCCAGUUUGGCCACGUGAGCACUUAAAAUAGCGCAGGAUGCGAAAUUACUGUUUGGCUUUAUCUUCCCCUUGAUGCAAGGCCUUCCUUAACGAAAUGGAGUUGGCUCCCAGCGUAAGCACAGCAGAGAACGGAGCGCUGUAUGAAAGUUACUGCCACGAGCUCUUUGCAGACGGAUGCUAUGCCUUUCCUUGGCAGACAUUUGAAAACAAGAAUACCUCACAGGGUAGAUUAUAGGAUACCCUGGUAAUUUUGCCACAAUAUCUACAGUACGUUCUCCUUCAAGUUUAAGCACCUGUCUUAAAUUCACACACGAUGACUAUGUGUGCGAGCACCUGUACAAUCAGUUUUUGGUACAAAAGGCACAAGUGAAAUGUGCUGGCUCUCUGCCAUUCAAGUCAAAUCAGCACAUUUCCAUCA